GCGUCCGUAGCUCAACUGGUCAACGGUAAACUCAAUAGACCCGUGCGCUGAGGCAGGCGCCAGCCUUCAAGCCGAAGGGAUCGAGACCAAAUCUUCCCCGUUUCGGUGGCUGAAGCCGCGAAAGCGGCCCCUGUCUGGGCGCACAUCGUCGAACAGUUUGCUCAAGAGCUCCAGGUUUAGGGCCUGGAAGAUGCGGGUUCGAAUCCCGUCGGGCGCA
rnacentral:tRNA from 1 species